AGUUGCCUCGGCUGCGCCCGGGUAUUUCGGGGCUGCAUGAAGGAUUUGGAGAGUCCAGCCUGGGCAGCGGGGAGCCCACACGGAAUCUGACUCUGAUACGGGGAACGCAGGGGGCGGAAUGUUCUGGAUUGGGGGUUCCGCCUGAAUCGUUGAAUGAAGUCCAGUUGGGAUUAAUCGAAAGGGGUCCGUCCUUCAUCGAGGAGCCUCGCUGCCAAUGACGGGGAGCAGGAUGGGCGGCCAAGGCUGGCUUUGCAGAUACCUGCACUGUGAGCGCGAUCCACAGAAUCCAUUAUUGGCCGAGAUCCACAGGCAAAUGAAA